UAAGAACGUGUUAACUGCCGGGGGCCUCAGAAGUUCCCGGGUCAGACCACGCCCACAACCUCGAGCCCCGCCCCUCCUCCGGUCCCAGAGCUCUCAGCGCCUCGCUGCUCAGAGGACCCUCGUCUUUGCUUGCCGACCGUUCUCAACUCUCCGCUUCUGCACCUAGCCUGGCUCCAGAGGACACCAGACCAGUUCAAAGGAUCCAAAGUAGAGGAGCAGAGUCUCUCCGGAGGGAAGAGGAACAGACCAGAACCUCCCAGGGGCGGGUUCGAAGACCACACCCGGCGUCCACAGGCUGCGCCCAGCCUUCAAACACCGCUUCCACCCACCGGAACGUCCUUUGACGCGCCCUUUGGUGGCCACGCCCUCGACUCGCCUCCUUGCGCAUGCGCAGUGAGGUGAGACCCGUAACGAGGGACGCUCGCUCGCCAGUCUCGGUUUUUUGGUCCGAAACUAACGGCGCUGUGCAAUCUUCAGGCCCCGCUUCUCCACACCUCGGUUUCGGGGGUCUCCCGAGCCCAUGUGUUCAUGAUGAGGAGAUUGCUCAGCGCUCAUCUCUACAGGUGACUCUCUUUCAUGGUUUCCCGGAGUAAUAACUAUUUAUGAUUUUGUAUUUUGAUUUUUUUUGGGGGGGAGUAGAGGAAUUAAAUGUUUGGGUUUGAUUAAACCCCUGAAAGAGAAGCUUCUCUUGCUCAGGAAUAUGGAAGGUAAUCUGGAAUUAGGACAAACUCUUUGUAUUUAAACUUAUCCAGGCCACCACUUACACUGUUCUGCUCACUCAACUCAGACUUCUUCAGGGUAACUUGGUAAAAUUACUUCCCUUCUGAGUCUCAUGUGCCACCUGUUAACAUGGAGAAGAUAGAGCAGACCAGGUUUUCAGAGUCUGAGCAAAUGGGAUCCCUGAAAUGAUUUUGAAAAUUGGUCUUGUGUUUGCAUUUGGCAGGUUUUUUGGAUGUGUGCCCAGUUAUCAUUGGAAUUUGAAACAUGUCCUAGUCCUCCAACAAUAAUGAAUUCCACUAAGAAGGAGGCAGGCGCAUAAGCCCAGAGAACGAGGCAUGACUCUCAGCUUCUUUCUCUAUCCGUGAAUCGUGGGAAUAAUCCUACCUGAGAAAGAAGCCCAGAGGAAGAGGAAAGAAAGGAGAAGGAAUGGCCCUUUCCCAGGGACUGUUUAUGUUCAAGGAUGUGGCCGUAGAAUUCUCUCAGGAGGAGUGGGAAUGGCUGGACCCUGCCCAGAGGGCCUUGUACAGGGACGUGAUGUUGGAGACCUACAGGAACCUGCUCUCCCUGGAUUCAAAAAAUCAUCGACAAGAUAUCAAGGAGCUUACUAUGCUUUCUUCUAGGAGUUUUUUUUUUUCAGGUAUUACAUUCAAGUCUUUACUCUGUCUUGAGUUAAUUUAUGCAUAUGGUAUAAGAUAGUGGUCCAGUUUCAUUCUUUUGUAUGUGCCUUUCAGUUUUCUUAAUACUAAUUAUUGAUGACACUGUCCUUUCCCCCUUGUAUAUUUUUGGCUCCUUUGUUGUAAAUUUAUUGAUUGCAUAUGUGUGGGUUUAUUUCUGGGCUUUCUAGUCUCUUCCAUUGACUUACAUCUGUUUUAAGGCCAGUAGCGUACUCUUUUCGUUUCCAUUCUUUGUAACAUCAUUUGAAAUUAGGGAAUGUGAUGCCUUCACCUUUUUUAUUCUUUCUGAAGAUUGCUUUGGCUAUUUGGUGUCUUGUUCCACACAACUUUUAGGAUUAUUCUAUUUCAUGUGCAUGUUUUUGCAUGCAGAGAAGUUUUCGGCUCAUUUGUGUAACUACCAGGUAGUGCGAUUGCUAAUUCAUAUUUAAGAUUGUAAGAAACCGCAAACUCUUCCAAACUAGCUGUACCAUGUAGCAUUCCCAUCAGCAAUGAAUGAAAGUUUUUGCUGCUCUGCAUCAUUUCUAAUUUUUGAUAUUUUCAGUGUUCUGUAUUUUGGCCACUGUCAUAGGUGUUUAGUGGUAUCACAUUUGUUUUAACACACAUUUUCCUCAAUUAAAUCUGUCAUUUUUAACUUUUUCUUAUUAAGUUUUAGUCACAGGUUACCAUUCAAUUGAUUUGCUCUAGUUUUCUAUAAGGAAGUUUUGAUUUCUGUUUUAAUUUCAGGGUUUUUUUUUGCUGCAAAUAAUUGUUUUGCUGAAAGUUUUACUUGCAUUUUAGGUUCAUAGGAUUUGCUGGCAAAAUAACCACUCUUACACUCAGUUAAACAAGAAUUCAGAGUUCAUUGAAUUAAAAGAUUACAGUAUACUAAUUAAGAAUAGUAUAACUAACUAAGAAAGUAUAGUAAAGACAGGUUUAUUACAUCACAGAAAUGGGGAAGCACCUACAUCCAGAUCCAAGUAGCACUGGGAAGUCCCUUCAGCAGCAAUCUGGAAUCCCAGUUGGGAAGGCCCUGAUGGUGCAUCCACCCCAUGGGUGAGACUUCUUUGCUACUGGAAGGAUUCCUGCUUUUAGCAUCAGGUCACAGGCUGACUGUCAUCAGCCUACGUGCGAAUUUGCAGCUCUGGUUAUUGUUAUAAAUGCCUUGGUCUUAACUUAUAAGUCUUGGAGUGUUCUCUGAUCCCUGGGGGCUGGCCAGGCCCUCAGGGUGCAAGAAGGCCCCAGACUUACUCCCUAUCUUAUCUAAUGAUUUACAAGGUGUGCUGCCUGUCAGUAGCUCAGCAGUUUGGCAUGUAGCCAGCUUUUAGGGUCAUUGCCUGGUCAGAGAGGCCUAGUGCUGCCUCUGAAGCCUGAACAAGACUACUUUACUAGCUUCCCCAACAUUAAUUUAUUCUAACAAUUAUUCUCCCUGCACAUCUUGAUAUGCUGAUAUUUAAAUAUCUCAUUUUAUUUAAGGAAAUGUAGGUAAUUUUUUUAUACUCCAUGGUUUCCUCAUUAUUACUGCUUCUGACAAUGUUUCUCAGAAAUUUUCUUAUGUUCCUUGAAUUACAUAUUUCAAUGAAGCCUCUUUUGUUCCCUGUCCUCUCUUUCAACUAAAUUUCAUCAAAAGUCAUCUGGUCUUUGUUGAUAUACAUCCUAUUAUCGUCCUUUUCUUCAGGCUGUUAAUUGGCUGCUUAUGUUGUCGACCACAUCUCUGCACAUAGAACUCAGCCAUGGAUCAGCACGGCACUGCCAGAAUUGUUUCUAUGGUUAAACCCUGCUGUGAACAACACUUGUCCAUACAAGUCAUUCCUUUCCCCUCUAGGUUGUUUAGUAAUGCCCCUUAAGCCCUUAAGGUUACUAUUUUCUGUUGCUGUUCCAGAAGUCAAAAUUCAUUACUUUUUGUUAAGUGCAUAUUAAUUUCUAUUGAUAAGAGUAAGUAUAUCUUUAGUGAUAUACAUACAGUAAGAGCACUUCUCAUCUGAUGUCUGUUUUAUGUUUGGGAUUGUAAUGUUAAAAGAUCCAGAGAUAUGAUUUCAAAUACUUUCAAGAAUUCCAGUGAAAGAGAUCUGUUACUUUUAUAUAACAAAGCUGUUUGCACUAAAAAACUUCAUGCUAAAAUUGAUAUUCUGUUUUAAAAAUGUAUAAGUAGUUUAAAAGUUAUUCUUACCAAAUAUAAUCACAUCCACAAAGAGUUUAAACCUUGGCAAAAGCCUCCUGUCAGCUUUGUCUCCACCAGUCAACCUCUGUCACACCCCUGCCAAGUGACCAUCAUCCAGCAACCAUGAUCAUCCUCCACUGCUGUACCCUUGAGAGGGUUUUAUUGCAUCCACAUGUGUUCACACAGAGUGAAUUCAUUCAUUCUCCAGGUUUUGCUUUUAGGUCCCGCAAAGAACGUUCUUGUACAUAUCUCCCAGAACAAAUAAUAUAUGCCUAGGAAUGGAAUUUCUGGGAUAUUCAGCUUGAUCAAGUUUAGAGCAAAUAUUGGAAUAGACGUAAACCUACAGUCUUGCCAUAACAGCACUCUCUGUCUUCCUAAUAUCUUCCACAUUUCCUUCAUACCAACAAUAUAGCUUCCAUAGAAUGAGUCAUGUUUAUGCUUCUUGCUACGGCAGUUCUUCUUUUCCCAAGGUUAGGCUUUCAUCUGCUGCAGUACAGUCCUCUUCCCAUAGACUUGCAAGCACAAGCAGUGCUCCCACAUUGCCCACUACUUCACUCUUGCUUUGUUAAAUCCCAGUCCUGGCCUCCCCUCAGAUUUUUGUGGAUCUAAGUGAACUCUAUUGGUACUUCUUAGUACUGUAUUA